rnacentral:rRNA from 1 species
UACGUAGGGGGCAAGCGUUAUCCGGAAUUAUUGGGCGUAAAGAGUACGUAGGUGGCAACCUAAGCGCAGGGUUUAAGGCAAUGGCUCAACCAUUGUUCGCCCUGCGAACUGGGAUGCUUGAGUGCAGGAGAGGAAAGCGGAAUUCCUAGUGUAGUGGUGAAAUGCGUAGAUAUUAGGAGGAACACCAGUGGCGAAGGCGGCUUUCUGGACUGUAACUGACACUGAGGUACGAAAGCGUGGGGAGCAAACAGG